UACGGAGGAUCCAAGCGCUAUCCGGAUUUAUUGGGUUUAAAGGGUGCGUAGGCGGCUUAUUAAGUCAGGGGUGAAAGACGGUGGCUCAACCAUCGCAGUGCCUUUGAUACUGAUGAGCUUGAAUGAACUAGAGGUAGGCGGAAUGUGACAAGUAGCGGUGAAAUGCAUAGAUAUGUCACAGAACACCGAUUGCGAAGGCAGCUUACUAUGGUUUUAUUGACGCUGAGGCACGAAAGCGUGGGGAUCAAACAGG
rnacentral:rRNA from 1 species